rnacentral:rRNA from 1 species
ACGGGUGAGUAAUGUCUGGGGAUCUGCCCGAUAGAGGGGGAUAACCACUGGAAACGGUGGCUAAUACCGCAUAACGUCGCAAGACCAAAGAGGGGGACCUUCGGGCCUCUCACUAUCGGAUGAACCCAGAUGGGAUUAGCUAGUAGGCGGGGUAACGGCCCACCUAGGCGACGAUCCCUAGCUGGUCUGAGAGGAUGACCAGCCACACUGGAACUGAGACACGGUCCAGACUCCUACGGGAGGCAGCAGUGGGGAAUAUUGCACAAUGGGCGCAAGCCUGAUGCAGCCAUGCCGCGUGUAUGAAGAAGGCCUUCGGGUUGUAAAGUACUUUCAGCGGGGAGGAAGGCAAUAAGGUUAAUAACCUUGUUGAUUGACGUUACCCGCAGAAGAAGCACCGGCUAACUCCGUGCCAGCAGCCGCGGUAAUACGGAGGGUGCAAGCGUUAAUCGGAAUUACUGGGCGUAAAGCGCACGCAGGCGGUCUGUUAAGUCAGAUGUGAAAUCCCCGGGCUUAACCUGGGAACUGCAUUUGAAACUGGCAGGCUUGAGUCUCGUAGAGGGGGGUAGAAUUCCAGGUGU